GACAGAGGGUGCAAACGUUGUUCGGAAUUACUGGGCGUAAAGAGCGUGUAGGCGGCCAGGUAGGUCCGUUGUGAAAACUCGAGGCUCAACCUCGAGACGUCGAUGGAAACCAUCUGGCUAGAGUCCGGAAGAGGAGAGUGGAAUUCCUGGUGUAGCGGUGAAAUGCGCAGAUAUCAGGAAGAACACCUAUGGCGAAGGCAGCUCUCUGGGACGGUACUGACGCUGAGACGCGAAAGCGUGGGGAGCGAACAGG
rnacentral:rRNA from 1 species